UUUGGCGAAGUUCUAUUGUACCUAUUGAUAUCCCUCAAAUGGGCAAAAGGAAAAAAAAAUGUAUUGAUAUUUUCCUGUGCUACUUUUUUCCUACCUACUUUGUUAGAAUUUGUAACUUACAAAUACAUCGAGAUAUUCAACUGGUAAAACUUCCAAAACCAUUAUGUGUUUUGGAUAAAGCCGAAAUGAUAAAAAGUUUGUGAACAAUGUGUUAGAUGCUGAUCGACUUUGUGUGUAACUCAUACUAAGAGAUGCAAGCAACAAUAACAAGUCUCCUGAUGAAUGUUCCAGUCCGAGAGUUGGAAGCAAUGUGUCUGUAUAAGUUGUGGAAUAUCUUUGGGAAGGCAUACAAGAAGACAAAAUCACAGGCCAUAAGCUUAGGGAAAGAAAUGAAGAGUGACAUUAUAUAGAAAAACAAAAAUAUCUCCGAGACAGAUGCCUGAUGGAUGCCCAUGUAUGCAUUGUUUGCAGGAUGAGCUCACCUCAAAAACAUUAAUAUCUAGUGAACAUAAAACCUGUGUUAAGUGUGCCGUUGCAAUGUAUGUAGUUCUAUUUAUGUUCAUAGAUGUUGGUAAACUAUGAGCUUAAAUCACUUUAUAAUUUAUUUUAUCAAAUCAUUAAAUUGAUAAAAAGCUAAUUAUGUAUAUUUUAAUGUUACAUACAUACAUACAUACAUAAACUCACACCCGUAAUCCCAAAUGGGGUGGGCAGAGCCACAAGUAAUCAAAGACAACUUGCAGCCACUGUUGAUACGAAGUCCUAAGAUGGAUAUGAUGAACCUUAUGGUGAUAAGGGAUCAGCCUAUCGCCCAUAACAUUAGUCCAUCAUGUUAGAGGACGCAAUAAUUUCAAUCGCAAUAAUUUUAAUGUUAUUGUUAAGUUUAUUCUACGUAUACCUACUUACUAAUAUGUUACCAUAUUAAGUCUGUUCAAAAAUCAUAAAUAGGUACUUAUUCUAUCAUGUAGGUUGUAAGGUGGAUGACCAACCUCGUUAACCAGGGUUAUUGCUGAGCCGCCAAAGUCAUUUGAUCAGCCAGCCAUGUCCUAACCAAACCGGGGAUCACAAAGUGAUUUCUGUCUUAUAUCCCCACCGGGAUUUGAACCCGGGACCUCCGGAAUGUCAGGCACUGGGCCACAUAGGCCGAGAGUAUAUACUCUAGUUUAGUUGCUGUUUUAUUUCAACUAUUUCAUUAAAUGUAGAAAUAUUUUGUAUGAGUAUGAGUUAUAUAAUAAAACAAAUUAU